GACGAACGCUGGCGGCGUGCUUAACACAUGCAAGUCGAACGAUGAACCCGGAGCUUGCUCUGGGGGAUUAGUGGCGAACGGGUGAGUAACACGUGAGUAACCUGCCCUGGACUCUGGGAUAAGCGUUGGAAACGACGUCUAAUACCGGAUAGGACCUUGGAUCGCAUGAUCUGGGGUGGAAAGUUUUUUCGGUCUGGGAUGGACUCGCGGCCUAUCAGCUUGUUGGUGAGGUAAUGGCUCACCAAGGCGUCGACGGGUAGCCGGCCUGAGAGGGUGACCGGCCACACUGGGACUGAGACACGGCCCAGAAUCCUACGGGAGGCAGCAGUGGGGAAUAUUGCACAAUGGGCGAAAGCCUGAUGCAGCAACGCCGCGUGCGGGAUGACGGCCUUCGGGUUGUAAACCGCUUUUAGUAGGGAAGAAGGGCUUCGGCUUGACGGUACCUGCAGAAAAAGGACCGGCUAACUACGU
rnacentral:rRNA from 1 species